GCGGGAUUAGUUUAGUGGCAGAACCCCAGUUUUCCAAACUGGUGGCACGAGUUCGAUUCUCGUAUCCCGCACCA
rnacentral:tRNA from 1 species